AUGCAUGCAAGAAUUGUACCCAUUUUACUGCGAGGAAGCCGCGGCUCAGUGAGGAGCAGUGACUUGUCCACCACCACACAAUCACGGAGUCGGAUUCCACCAGCACCCGGCUCUCUGCCUCCUCAGACCCGGCAAGCUGACGUGAAGCAAGAAAACAGUCGGUCUCUGGUCCAGGAAGCAGGCGCUGCAGGGGACGGAAGGGUCGGAACCCAUAGAGCUGUGGGGCCAAGCAGCUGGGCGGAGGUGCCCAAAGCCAGCUCGGGGAGGAGAAGUGGGUGGGUUAGGGGCCGGGCGGCGCCGGGGGUGGGGACGCCCGGGGGAAGGGAAAGGGCAGCAGAGCGCCGGUCGGAGCGCGAAGCAGAGGGGGCGCAGGCAGUGCUGGGCGCGGACUGCGAGCAGUGGGGCUGGCGGAGAGCCUUGGGGCGCAGUGAGGGGCACCCGCGAGCCCAGGGCGAAGAGUCCAACAAACAGACUGCGCUCCUGUGGCCUUACAGAUGGGCAGCAGGACUACAGGAUAGUACCCCUAAAUGGAGAGAGACUACAGGGUUGAUCAGAAAGGAUGAGAAACAAGAAAGAUACUCUUUAUUUCUGAAAGAGGAAAUGUUGAUGUUGCUGCUGCUGCUGCUAAGUCACCUCAGUCAUGUUCUACUCUGUGCGACCCCAUAG
ensembl:lncRNA